GAUUUUCUUCCUCUGAUGCAUGUGAACGAGUGGAUAAGUUAUGAAUGUUCUGAUGAGGGUACAUGUAGUCCAAACAUUCGUAACUCAUCUACUUGUUCACAUGCAUUAGAAGGAAGAAAUUG